GUGAGGAAUAUUGCGCAAUGGCCGAAAGGCUGACGCAGCGACGCCGCGUGGGGGAAGAAGGCCUUCGGGUCGUAAACCCCUGUCAGUGGGGAAGAAAAAAAUGACUGUACCCACAGAGGAAGCCCCGGCUAACUACGUGCCAGCAGCCGCGGUAAGACGUAGGGGGCGAGCGUUGUUCGGAAUUACUGGGCGUAAAGAGCUCGUAGGCUGGAAAUUAAGUCUUGCAAUAAAGCCCACAGCUCAACUGUGGAAAAUUGUGAGAUACUGUUUUUCUUGAGAACAGGAGAGGGGAGUGGAAUUCCUAGUGUAGCGGUGAAAUGCGUAGAUAUUAGGAGGAACACCAGUGGCGAAGGCGGCUCUCUGGCCUGUUUCUGACGCUGAGGAGCGAAAGCUGGGGGAGCGAACGGGAUUAGAAACCCGAGUAGUCC
rnacentral:rRNA from 1 species